GGGCAGAAUAAAAAAUUACUAAAAAAAAAUCUUCUCAAAAUUACGGAAAUCGAGCGGCGGCGGCGGCUCCCCCCGCCCGCCGGCCCGCCCGCCCCCUCCCCGGCUCCCCGGCCCCGGGCGCAGCGCGCAUGUGUCCUGCUAUAAUUAUGAUUAUCAAUAAUGCAUUGCGAUUAAUCAUAGAGGGGCUCUUUGAAAGGCGAUUGGCACCGGGCCAGCGCUAUUCAAACCCGCUCGCCUUAAUCAAUUAGUUUGUGAUUUGCUGCAGACCCCUGUCUCUCCGCGCGCUGGCCCAAUAAGCCGGCCGCGGGGCUGGCUCUGCGAGCCGCGCCGCCCGACACUGGGUUAACCCUCUUCGCGACCGCCCGGGACUCCGCGGCCGGGCCGCCGGGGGCCUGCCUUCUCGCCUCUGAGCACCCGGCGCCCCGGCCUGAGCCCCCCUCCCUCCCUCGGCCCCCCCAUCCCGGGCUGGGCCGACCCAAAUUAGCAUGCCCUCCCCGGAAUUAAGCCUCCCCGGGUGGGGGGUGGGGCCGGGCGGCGGGGGCUGGGGACCCGGGCUGCGGGCGCGCGGCGAACUUCCCAACUCCGGCGCUAGGAGCGCCGGCCCGCGGGGGGAGGGAGUCCCGUGGCGGGAUUUGGGGGGAGGAAGUCCCGUUUCGUGAGUGUUUCUUCGUUUCUUUAAGAGCUACCAGAAAGCAGCCCACCCCCACCCCCAUAAAAAAAAAAAUAAGCGAGUGGGGAAGAGCCAGCCCCACGCCGGUCCGCCUCCCGCCCGCGGCCCGGCCUCCCUCCCGCUCGCUGCUUGGCUCGGCGCUCCUUCGCCCCGAGUUCUCCAUCCCCUGGAUCCCGGGCUCGCGGGGGCGCGGAGAAGAGGACCAAGGAAAGGGUCUCCUCGCUCCUGGUUCCCGAAGUCCUGCGCCCGAGGGACACUCUAAACUUCGGUUGAGUAAUGGGGCCGGGGGGGGGGGGGGGUGCAGAUACACAAUCCCUACCCUAUCUCGCGAUCGGGAAAGGAGAGGGCUCAUAAGGACGCCCCAAUUCGGGAGCGCCCUGGAGCCUGGAGAGCCAUACAGUCAGUUCGCGCGAAGUGGGCACCAGUCUUCCAAGUAG
rnacentral:lncRNA from 1 species